rnacentral:rRNA from 1 species
AUUAGCUAGUUGGUAGGGUAACGGCUUACCAAGGCGACGAUGUCUAGGGNNNUUGAGAGGAGAAUCCCCCACACUGGUACUGAGACACGGACCAGACUCCUACGGGAGGCAGCAGUAAGGAAUAUUGGUCAAUGGGCGGAAGCCUGAACCAGCCAUGCCGCGUGCAGGNNNNCUGCCCUNNNGGUUGUAAACUGCUUUUGUCCAGGAAUAAACCUAAAUACGUGUAUUUAGCUGAAUGUACUGGAAGAAUAAGGAUCGGCUAACUCCGUGCCAGCAGCCGCGGUAAUACGGAGGAUCCGAGCGUUAUCCGGAUUUAUUGGGUUUAAAGGGUGCGUAGGCGGCCUAUUAAGUCAGGGGUGAAAUACGGUGGCUCAACCAUCGCAGUGCCUUUGAUACUGAUGGGCUUGAAUCCAUUUGAAGUGGGCGGAAUAAGACAAGUAGCGGUGAAAUGCAUAGAUAUGUCUUAGAACUCCGAUUGCGAAGGCAGCUCACUAAGCUGGUAUUGACGCUGAUGCACGAAAGCGUGGGGAUCGAACAGGAUUAGAUACCCUGGUAGUCCACGCCCUAAACGAUGAUAACUCGAUGUUGGCGAUAGACAGCCAGCGUCCAAGCGAAAGCGUUAAGUUAUCCACCUGGGGAGUACGCCCGCAAGGGUGAAACUCAAAGGAAUUGACGGGGGCCCGCACAAGCGGAGGAGCAUGUGGUUUAAUUCGAUGAUACGCGAGGAACCUUACCCGGGCUUGAAAGUUAGUGAAGAAUGCAGAGACGCAUUCGUCCUUCGGGACACGAAACUAGGUGCUGCAUGGCUGUCGUCAGCUCGUGCCGUGAGGUGUUGGGUUAAGUCCCGCAACGAGCGCAACCCCUAUGUUUAGUUGCCAGCAUGUAAUGGUGGGGACUCUAAACAGACUGCCUGUGCAAACAGUGAGGAAGGUGGGGACGACGUCAAGUCAUCAUGGCCCUUACGUCCGGGGCUACACACGUGCUACAAUGGAUGGUACAGCGGGCAGCUACAUAGCAAUAUGAUGCUAAUCUCUAAAAGCCAUUCACAGUUCGGAUUGGGGUCUGCAACUCGACCCCAUGAAG